rnacentral:tRNA from 1 species
UUUCCUUAGCUUAAAAUAAAGUUUUAACUUUGGGUGUUAAAGAUUCAGGAAAAA